UCUACGGGAGGCAGCAGUGGGGAAUAUUGCACAAUGGGGGAAACCCUGAUGCAGCGACGCCGCGUGAGUGAAGAAGUAUUUCGGUAUGUAAAGCUCUAUCAGCAAGGAAGAAAAUGACGGUACUUGACUAAGAAGCCCCGGCUAACUACGUGCCAGCAGCCGCGGUAAUA
rnacentral:rRNA from 1 species